rnacentral:rRNA from 1 species
UACGUAGGGUGCAAGCGUUAAUCGGAAUUACUGGGCGUAAAGCGUGCGCAGGCGGCUUUGCAAGACAGAUGUGAAAUCCCCGGGCUCAACCUGGGAACUGCAUUUGUGACUGCAAGGCUGGAGUACGGCAGAGGGGGAUGGAAUUCCGCGUGUAGCAGUGAAAUGCGUAGAUAUGCGGAGGAACACCGAUGGCGAAGGCAAUCCCCUGGGCCUGUACUGACGCUCAUGCACGAAAGCGUGGGGAGCAAGCAGG